rnacentral:lncRNA from 13 species
AUUUCAGGAGCGCUCCCAAGGUUGCGCCAGGCUCGAGUGAUUCCAGUGAUUUGCGCUGAUUGCACAUUUCUCAGCACCGCUGCAUGCCCAGUGACUCACUAGGGCUGGAACAGCCACAUCAGCAUUGUACUGACCUCUGGAUCCAUUGCAUUAAAGCAGAGGUUAUCGGUAGCCCGGAGGUUCACAUGCCAAGAAAGCGAGGAGGAGGAGGGGCAGGAAGAGGAGCCAGAGGGGACACACCCAGGGCGAUCAGUCUGGAACACGUAGCAUAUGCUCUUAAAGGUAACCUUGAGUCCACCAGCUGUGUGCCCCCAUCUCCCCCUAACACCACCCAUUUACAGCCCGCCACCAACAGCUGCUCUAAUUGGUCGCUAUAUUGGGUUGAUGAGGCAAAAAUGGCGGUACAAUCAAUCAACUUUUACGAAUUCAUUUGUUACAGAAAGUUAAACAAAGCCCAGGUAGCAGGAUGCUGGACAUAGAGUAGAGAGGCAUCUAAACAGCCACAUUAGCACAGAAUGACAGCAGGGGGAGCACAAAUUAGGCGCAACAUGAACAUCCCAGCAGUUAUAAACUAUGUCAUAGAGUGCUACCAGGGCAGUGGUAAGAGAAACGCUUCGCAACAAGGGGUACUCUUACACCAACCCACUGUUCAGGAGUGACCGUAAGGAUGGCUCUUAAAAUAGAAAUUCUACGAUUGAUUCGUGACGACCAUAAAUCUCUGUGGUCAAGCUCUUCCCACAGCUGUGCCCUUACGCUUUAAGCCAUAGGCUAAAAAGGUACAUUUCUCUUUUUUUUAAAUAAAUGAUUUGAUUCCCUUAUUGUUGACGGGCUUGUUCUAUAGUAAAUGAGCCCUAUAAGAGUGUUCUACCUAAAACACUGGGUGACCUCUGUGAGGAAAACACUAUGUUCCAUUAUUUUCUCCAUGGCUUAAAUUACAUGAUUUUAAAUUAGGUGAAAUGUCAAACAGUGCUGAGACUGUUUGAAGUGUAUGCAUAUGUGUUUGUGGACGUGUGUGUGUGUGUGUGUGUGUGUGCAGGUUUUUUCUGCGUGGGAAAGUCUUGGGUGGACCAUGUAAGUGUUUUUUGGACCGUUGUUCUGGAUUGGGAAAGAAAUUCUGUGUAAAAAAAAAAUCUGAACCUAAUUUAUUUUUGAGAACAAACAAUCACUAAAAUAAAAGCUAGACAGCCAGGGAGAAUCUAAAAUUCUAAA